rnacentral:rRNA from 1 species
GCCAUCGGCCAUAUCAUGUUGAAUGCACCAGUUCUCGUCUGAUCACUGAAGUUAAGCAACAUUGAGCCUGGUUAGUACUUGGAUGGGUGACCGCCUGGGAAUACUGGGUGCUGAUGGCA